UACGUAGGGUCCGAGCGUUGUCCGGAAUCAUUGGGCGUAAAGGGCGCGUAGGUGGCCUGCUAAGCGUGCGGUGAAAGUCGGGGGCUCAACCCCCGAUCGGCCGUGCGAACUGGGAGGCUUGAGCACUGUAGAGGCAGGCGGAAUUCCGGGUGUAGCGGUGGAAUGCGUAGAGAUCCGGAAGAACACCGGUGGCGAAGGCGGCCUGCUGGGGAGUUUUGCUGACACUGAGGCGCGACAGCGUGGGGAGCAAACAGG
rnacentral:rRNA from 1 species